rnacentral:rRNA from 1 species
AGCGAACGCUGGCGGCAGGCCUAACACAUGCAAGUCGAACGGAUCCUUCGGGAUUAGUGGCGGACGGGUGAGUAACACGUGGGAACGUGCCCUUUGGUUCGGAACAACUCAGGGAAACUUGAGCUAAUACCGGAUGUGCCCUUCGGGGGAAAGAUUUAUCGCCAUUGGAGCGGCCCGCGUCUGAUUAGCUAGUUGGUGAGGUAAAGGCUCACCAAGGCUACGAUCAGUAGCUGGUCUGAGAGGAUGAUCAGCCACAUUGGGUCUGAGACACGGCCCAAACUCCUACGGGAGGCAGCAGUGGGGAAUCUUGCGCAAUGGGCGAAAGCCUGACGCAGCCAUGCCGCGUGAAUGAUGAAGGUCUUAGGAUUGUAAAAUUCUUUCACCGGGGACGAUAAUGACGGUACCCGGAGAAGAAGCCCCGGCUAACUUCGUACCAGCCGCCGCCGUAACAC